GGCGACCGGCGCACGGGUGAGUAACACGUAUCCAACCUGCCGAUAACUCGGGGAUAGCCUUUCGAAAGAAAGAUUAAUACCCGAUAGCAUAAUGAUUCCGCAUGGUUUCAUUAUUAAAGGAUUCCGGUAAAGGAUGGGGAUGCGUUCCAUUAGGUUGUUGGUGAGGUAACGGCUCACCAAGCCUUCGAUGGAUAGGGGUUCUGAGAGGAAGGUCCCCCACAUUGGAACUGAGACACGGUCCAA
rnacentral:rRNA from 1 species